GUUGAGACGUGGUCAGCCUCUCUGGACAAACUAGACAUCAACUUCUUCCCCUGAGGCGAGCCUUUCUGCAGUGAUCCAGUAUCGUGGUGUUGUGGAUCAAGGGGUUCGAGUUAAGAUGUGAUAGCCUCCUGAAGAAAGCCGUGAAGAAGUACCAGGUCUUCAGUCACUUUGCUGUGUGCCUAGCAAGGACAAAAAAAC